AUUGAACGCUGGCGGCAUGCCUUACACAUGCAAGUCGAACGGUAACAGGUCCUCGGACGCUGACGAGUGGCGAACGGGUGAGUAAUACAUCGGAACGUGCCCAGUCGUGGGGGAUAACUACUCGAAAGAGUAGCUAAUACCGCAUACGAUCUGAGGAUGAAAGCGGGGGACCUUCGGGCCUCGCGCGAUUGGAGCGGCCGAUGGCAGAUUAGGUAGUUGGUGGGAUAAAAGCUUACCAAGCCGACGAUCUGUAGCUGGUCUGAGAGGACGACCAGCCACACUGGGACUGAGACACGGCCCAA
rnacentral:rRNA from 1 species